rnacentral:rRNA from 1 species
GUGGGGAAUUUUGGACAAUGGGGGCAACCCUGAUCCAGCCAUGCCGCGUGAGUGAAGAAGGCCUUCGGGUUGUAAAGCUCUUUCGGCGGGGACAAAACGGCCAUCUUUAAUACGGGUGGUCACUGAUGGUACCCGAAGAAGAAGCACCGGCUAACUACGUGCCAGCAGCCGCGGUAAUACGUAGGGUGCGAGCGUUAAUCGGAAUUACUGGGCGUAAAGCGUGCGCAGGUGGUUUCGUAAGUCAGAUGUGAAAUCCCCGGGCUUAACCUGGGAAUGGCAUUUGAGACUGCGAGGCUAGAGUACGGCAGAGGGAGGUGGAAUUCCACGUGUAGCAGUGAAAUGCGUAGAUAUGUGGAGGAACACCGAUGGCGAAGGCAGCCUCCUGGGCCAGUACUGACGCUCAUGCACGAAAGCGUGGGGAGCAAACAGGAUUAGAUACCCCGGUAGUCC